UCGAUCUUCAGUGACCUGACGAAGCACCAUCUCUGGGUCAUCUUCGAUCCAGUAUCUAUCCUCCAUACCCGAAGUUGAAUCGGCAGCCAUAAGGUUUAAGGGAAGAAAGCAUCUUCACCACCGUUCUCGCAUCACCUUCGAACACAACAUCAUGGAAACCCAAAUCAACCGUGAAAUCAACAACAUGCACUGCGACUAUCUCUUCAGCCAUGAAGCUUGAGCUUGCAUCGAAAUUAAUUUUAACAUACGGGUGGACUAGAGGCUUUCACUUAGCUGGGAUCUGUUCCACACGACCUAUGGUCCGAGCAUUCGCCUGAGAAUAUUCCAAACAGUGCGACCGUACAAAGGAAACAAAAUCCCUCACUGUUGUACGUUUACAUUCAUGAUAUAGCUUAUUUCGAGCAAACCCCAAAUUAUCACCAAAAUUUAUGCAUG